UACGUAGGGUCCAAGCGUUAAAUCGGAAUUACUGGGCGUAAAGGGCGCGUAGGCGGCCUUCUAAGUCAGACGUGAAAUCCCAGGCUUAACUUGGGCAACUGCGUCUGAUACUGGGAGGCUUGAAUGCGGGAGAGGGAUGUGGAAUUCCAGGUGUAGCGGUGAAUGCGUAGAUAUUCGGAAGAACACCAGUGGCGAAGGCGACUUACUGGACACAUAUUGACGCUGAGGUGCGAAGCGUGGGAGCAAACAGG
rnacentral:rRNA from 1 species